rnacentral:lncRNA from 1 species
GGAUAUGCAGGGCAGUGUUUAGGACUUUUGAGGGUUUGAAUUUGGAGCAAUACCCUUAAUGGGCUAUACAAAAAUAAUGGCUAUUGGACUGACUUCAAUUAAUACAAGAUUAGAUUCAUAUAAAAAUUAAAUUAUAAAUUAAAGUUUGGUUCUUGGUUUGGUUCUCAGUUCUAGAACUAUAACCAAACUUGUACCGGAACCAAAUGGUUCUCGGUAUGAAUAACCAAAACCAUUAAUUUUUUUUGUGGAACCUCGAUUUGGUUUGGUUCUGAUUUGGUCUGGACAUUUUGUCCACCCCUAAUGCUCAUGAUGCGGACACGACCUUCUUGUACAUAUUAUAUGUUGCAGAGAGAAAAUUUCAAGAGCCCAAACAUGUGUUAUGGACAUGUUCACGCUUUAGAUGCAGGCACAUCCAUUUUCAGAUAUUGCUAUCGAUGGAAAAAGUUAAGGAUCCAAA